GAAAAAAGUGAUAGACUCUCAUAUCAGGAUGCAGCUCUGCUCCAGCCCUGCAUCUUUCUCUGUACACAGCUAACCCAGACCUCCAUGCGGGUCUCUUAUGUAUUGUUACUUGGAUAAUUUGUAUCUUUGUAGAUGAGUGUGUUCAUGGAAAUAGCAUAAAUAUCCCGUUAAAAGUUCUUCAGAGCGGGUCUAUUCAAGGUCCUCUUUGCGAUCAUUAUGCUCUCAAAUGAAACGGAUUCAAAACCUGUGCAGACACUGAAGACCCAAUGUGACUCUAGACCUUUCUCAACUGCUGUAAAGGAGUGACAGUUGGCUGUAAAGAAAUUCCAUACGUGACACAUCAGUCAGAGUUACUGGAUAUACUAAUUUAAUGAGAUGAGCUUUCAAUGAAUUAGAGUGUGUGUGUGUGUGUGUGUGUGUGUGCCCUUAAAGGUCUUGAUAUAUUUUUUAAAAGAAUAAAAGAUAAACUUUCAUUGUGACACAUUUAUGAAGUGUUUAUAUUAUUCUAUUUUAUUAUUUUACAAACACCUCUUGCAGGGA
rnacentral:lncRNA from 1 species